AGGGAACGCGUUCUCCCACAGCAACAGGCAGGGCUUUGCGGCUUCCUGAGCAUACUUGGAAGAGAGGACAUUCCCACCGUGCAUGGUUUACCAUAUGCUAAACGCUUCACCUCUCGACAGUGGUGCAGGACAGUGCUCGAAGCUACAUGGCAAAACCGAGGUGCAUCUUUCUUUGAAUUACAGCUUCUCCACAAGCAGUGGUCAGCGGCAGGACAUCCUCUGAAAUCCUGGAUAUAAACACUGCCGUGCUAAGAAUGGGAUUACUUGGCAGCUGCUCCUGUUGAGGGUACUAUAAUAAACAAAGGUUGGAAACCUU